rnacentral:rRNA from 1 species
UACAGAGGUCUCAAGCGUUGUUCGGAUUCAUUGGGCGUAAAGGGCGCGUAGGCGGCCUUCUAAGUCAGACGUGAAAUCCCCCGGCUUAACCUGGGAACUGCGUCUGAUACUGGAGGGCUUGAGUAUGGGAGAGGGAUGUAGAAUUCCAGGUGUAGCGGUGAAAUGCGUAGAUAUCUGGAGGAAUACCGGUGGCGAAGGCGGCAUCCUGGACCAUUACUGACGCUGAGGCGCGAAAGCUAGGGGAGCAAACGGG